UACGAAGGGGGCUAGCGUUGUUCGGAAUCACUGGGCGUAAGGAGCUCGUAGGCGGUUUGUUGCGUCGGCUGUGAAAUCCCGAGGCUCAACCUCGGGUCUGCAGUCGAUACGAGCAAACUAGAGUGUUGCAGGGGAGACUGGAAUUCCUGGUGUAGCGGUGAAAUGCGCAGAUAUCAGGAGGAACACCGGUGGCGAAGGCGGGUCUCUGGGCAACAACUGACGCUGAGGAGCGAAAGCGUGGGGAGCGAACAGG
rnacentral:rRNA from 1 species